rnacentral:tRNA from 1 species
CAAGACAUAGCUUAAAUAAAGUAUCCAGUUUACACCUAGAAGAUUUCAUAUACUAUGAGUGUCUUGA